CCUUAUCACUUUUCCAGCCCAGCUUUGUGACUGUCAGUGUUGGACGGAGAACUGAUAAGGGUGGG
rnacentral:pre_miRNA from 1 species